AUGGGUGGAAGGAAUGGUCGUGCUCAACGGAGCCAACGGGCAAGGGCUGGGCCAGCACGUGGUCAGCUGCGGGCCAAUGGGAGGCACAGAGAGAGCGAUAGGCCCCUUCCUGGGAGCAGGCAGCCCGUGGCUUCUUUUCCCGCCUGGGGCGUGGCCUAGCGCAGUAUUUCCUCAAGGGCGGGGCCUGGGAAGGUUCUAGAUGGGUCCCAGACCAGUUGAGGGCUGGAUUAACUGGCUCCUAGCCUAGGCAAACAUCGUUUCUUGGGGGGGGGGGAGCCCAUCUCAUCUCAUCUCAUCUCAUCUCAUCGCAGUGCCCCUUUCCCCACCACCCCCCAAGGCCUGACCCAGUGCAGGAUGCUGUGGUGCUGCUUGGGUCAUGGGGGAGGGCGGCCAGGCCGAACCGCAGCAGCACGGUGACCUGCACUGGACAGAGAGGCAGGGAGCCGGGCCCAGCGAAUGUGGGGGGAAAGAGCUGUCCAGCCCCCUCGCUUCCCAGGGCUUCGCUGUCGGGCGGGAGCAGGGCAGAGAAGUGUGAAUGUGUAAUGGUGGGGCGUGAAAGAAGGCAAAGUGCAGCUGGUGGGUUGCCUUAGUAAAAGAUGGGGGAACCACUGACCUUGUGUCCUGCUCCAUUCAGCUUUGGGAAAGGGACCCUGGUACCUGCUCCGGGCAGGCAAGCCCUUCCUCUCCCCCUCGCCACAGUCUGUCCUGGUCCUCUUUGUUCUGCGUGGGGUCUACUCACUAGGGUCUGCCCUGCCACAGGGUCUUUCAGCACAGGCCAUCUCCUUUGCCACUCUCGGGCCCCAUUGCUGCAGUUUAUGUCCUAAUCCCUUGUGGGCCAUCAUUUUAGCCUGGCUGUGUGUCACAUAUGGCCCCCUCAGGCAUGCCCAGUGGUGAUAUCCUGGUGUUCUUGAGAUGCCAUCAUGCUGCUGCCAUUGCUCUUGUGCCAUGAUGCUAACUGUUUAUCUUGUCCACUGUGCACUUUGGCAGCAUGACUCGCAAAGUUUUUCUGAAUGAUAGCAGCAGCACACUGCCGUGUUAGUGAUUCCUCCGCAGGAAUCUCUCCACUCAUGCAGUAGAAGCAUACGCUGAUGGGCAGUAGACUUGUGCAGCUGGUUUAGCUCAAAGGAUGCCCGAUAGUCCCAUCAAAAUCAAGACUGGCCUUCACAUGUCUCUCAUUCACACCUGCCUGAUGUUCAUUUCAAAGGAUAGUGGAGGCCAUCUUAAUGCUCACUAAGAGGCAAUAGCACAGACGCUAGCGUGUUUAGGCAGUCUGACUUGCUGGCAAUAACACAGGGAAGUGUGCAGCCCCCGAUCAGAAGGGAAAGAGACAUAGGUCUCUACCCAAGACAGAUGACAGCUGGGAGCCAGAAGUCUAAAAAUGGGUGUCGUUGCUGGACCAUGGAAGGGGAAUGCAGGUGCAGUUGCCCUAAACUGUGACCAAAUCAUCUAGUGAUUUUUCAGAAGGUGAUCGGGAGACUUUUUGAGUUGCAAGUAUGUUUAUUUGCAAAAGAAUAUGACUAGAAAACGUUUUUAUGUGCAUUAUAAAGAAAGCAUAUUCUGUUGACUUUUGUUACAUUAAUUUUGGCUUAGGACUACAAAAUUCAAGUAUUUAUAUAACUUAUUUUAACUCUUCUUCUAAAUAAAAACAUAGUUGAACAAAUCCUUACGGCUUGGCAACUGUUGAUUGCUGCAGUUGCAAAACAAACUUUUUACCCUAUAAUGGGAAGGGUAUGCAGUCUAGAAGAUUUUUGGAAAUCAAUAUUCUAGGAGCAAAUAUAUCUUUACUGUCAUAUACACUGGAAUGGUAGUAAAAUCAGAGUAAAGCUCUGAGGAGAGACAGAGAUCAGUUAAUUUGCCAGUCAACAGACUGUCAUAUAAGAUUGCUACAGCUAUAAAUAUAGACUUUCAGUAAUCCCUGGCUGGUAUACAAAGAACAUCCAAUGUGUAGUUAGUGACAUCUUUCAAGAAUUUUCUUUUGGCAGAGCUAUGAUGAUAGUGGUCCAAAGACUGUUUUACAAUCAGUUACAAACUGACAGCUAGAGAGGCAUUUGAGUUACUUCUGUUUCAAAGCUCGCAAAAUUAACAUCAAUUUUUUCAUUAACCUAAAUUUUAUUUUCAUAUCUUUGAAUAAAAGCAUCAGCACACAUGCCAGGAAAAGCUGUUUCCAUGAAGUGUUGUUUUAAUCCAGGAAGCUCAGCACAGCCUAAAUUAGAGUGUUGAAGGAAGAACUACAAUGAUCCGGUUAAGGGAAUUUGACAUCUGCUGAUCCAGAUUCUGACUUCAGUUAGAAUGGUGAAAAUGAAGAGUAACUGAGAUCAGAUUAUUGUAAGCAUUUACAAAAACUGAUUCUGAUGUUUGUGUGGAGGCAGAGGGGAAACAACAUCAAUACAAAGUAAUGUCUCUGAAUGCUGUGAAGAGAAUACAGCUUACAUUUUAUACUG